AAAUCCCUUACUUUGUACAAUUUAAUAUAUGCUCAUUUCAAGCAGGAGCCUGAAGAAAUGUUUUUCUAUGGUUUGUUGGCCAUUUCAGAACUUUGGAAAUAUAAUGGUCAAUACAUUAGAAGGAAACAGUG
rnacentral:snoRNA from 1 species